rnacentral:rRNA from 1 species
UACGUAGGGGGCAAGCGUUGUCCGGAUUUAUUGGGCGUAAAGAGCGUGUAGGCGGCCUAGUAGAUCAGCUGUGAAAACUCGAGGCUCAACCUCGAGCUGUCGGUUGAAACCACUAGGCUAGAGUCCGGAAGAGGAGAAUGGAAUUCCCGGUGUAGCGGUGAAAUGCGCAGAUAUCGGGAAGAACACCCGUGGCGAAGGCGGUUCUCUGGGACGGUACUGACGCUGAGACGCGAAAGCGUGGGGAGCGAACAGG